GUAAUUAUCGUACACAUAGUGUAGUUCCUAUCGCCACAGUGGCAACGUCUUGUGAUCGAGAUGGUUCGUCUUCGAUGUCAAUGUUUACAUUUGGGUGAGGUAGGCAACUGGUCGACUACACGAUCAGCAGACGAUACUUCAGCAGACGACAACAUAUUCUUUGGAAGAAUAUUCACUUCAUUUACUGGGACGACAAGCUUGAUCCAUCACAGUACAGGAAGACAGACUUCAAGGUGUGACGUGGUGAAUACUUUAAAUUUGGCACUAUUAAAUAUUUCGAGGCCUCUUCACGAGUGAAGACAAUGACAAACAUCUGAUCUGAGAGUAGAUAACCUAUAAAACAACACGUAUGCCAUGGUCGUACAGGUUGGCAGUCCCCUCGUUGGUGCAGAAACGAGGACCUCGUGGGGACCCGGGUUUGGAUAAAAUCCCAGCGCGACUACGCCGGAUCAGAUGGUCAAGCUCUGUGUUAUUGGACAUUGUGCGCCAAUGGCGUGGGUUGCUGCUGUCAUUUCAGUCAUUGGUUUGCCUUGCCAGACACGUUUAUUGACCCGCAAUGUGUGUAAAACAACACGGAAUCACUCACGCACGCUUAGGAGGAGACAACACCAUUACAGAUAAUGCUUUGUUUGUAUGUUGUUUAACGUCGCAGUCAGCAA